AGCUAUGAUCCUUCUGAUCAAAAAGGAAUUUCCCAUAUCAACUACUCAGUUACUCUGAAGCACAGCUGAUACAGAAAAGAUGAGGCUAUAUUGCUGUCAUCUGUUAGUUUGACGCACAGGCCCUGAGCUCCUUAAGGGACAGCUUAAGGAUGGAGCCUUUCCCUCUGGAUUCUCAGUGAGCAUCUCAGGGACUCACACACAGCAGGCGGCAAAUGAGCAGAAGUUGAAUGCAGGGCUGCUGGUCAGCUGGCAUGCACACACCAGCUUCACAGCCCGACUGAGGCAGCAGAAAGUUACACUGAACCGUGUUAAUCCAGAGCAAUUGUAUGCACGCAGAGGCCAAGCACCUGGAGACUUUUUGCACACAAGCUU